AUACGGAGGGAGCUAGCGUUGUUCGGAAUUACUGGGCGUAAAGCGCGCGUAGGCGGACUGGUCAGUUGGGGGUGAAAUCCCAGGGCUUAACCCUGGAACUGCCUUCAAUACUGCCAGUCUUGAGAUCGGGAGAGGUGAGCGGAAUUCCUAGUGUAGAGGUGAAAUUCGUAGAUAUUAGGAAGAACACCAGUGGCGAAGGCGGCUCACUGGCCCGAUACUGACGCUGAGGCGCGAAAGCGUGGGGAGCAAACAGGAUUAGAAACCCCAGUAGUCC
rnacentral:rRNA from 1 species